CUUUGGAGUUAGUUUAAAAGAAUCUCAAACCUUUUAAGAAUCAAAAGGAGUGGAUCCAAGAUCUUGGGAUCAGAGCUUAAACUCUUAAUGUUUUAUUCUUCUCACUUGCUAAUCCCCUGUUGCCUUUGAAGAAGCAAGUUGCCAUGUUGUUUGCUGCCAUAUAGAGAGGGCUACAUGGCAAGGAACGGCGGUCAGCCUCCACUUGAUAUCCAACGAGAAACUGAGGGCCUCAGUCUGGACACCUGCAGGAACUGAGUGCUGUCAACAACAGCAUCCUGGCCUUGGAUGACACCUUGAUUGCAGUCUUGCAGAGGAUCCAGCUAAACCAUGCCUAGACUUCAGACUUACAGAAACUGUGAGAUAAACUGUGAAAUAGUUUUAAGCCACUAAAUUUGUGGUAAUAUCAUUACACAGCAAUAGAAAACUAAUACAGAUAUGUGUUGAUUCUGCUAGAUGAAAAGUCUGUCUAUUUUAAUUACGUGUUCCAGAACUGGAAAAGUAAGUAAAAGGUAAAUCUGGGGACACACUGAGCCCACAAUGAGAUGGACUUGAGCUAGAAAUGGACUUGAUUUCCUGACGUCCAUAAAUCCCUACUCUGAAUGUUGGAGCAUAGCAAUGUUCUGCUUUUCCAAAAAUUUGUUUCAGUUGGGAGCCAGAGUUCAGUAAUGCCCAAAAAUAUGAUGCACAAUGAUCUUAGUAAAUGUCCACAGGUGCCUCUGAGAAAGGCUAUGAGAAAGAUUAACAGUAUAAUUUUGGGCAUUAUAGCAGAGUUCUUCCUCAAGGGACCAAGCUUAUAUUUUAUUUAGUGGGAUACCAGUAUGUAAACUGACUCAAGUCUGGGGAUUGGUUAAGUAAGGAACUGUGAAUCCCUGUUUUAGGGAUUCAAGUCAGACUUCUGUUCACUAGACCUAGAACUUGUCUGUCUAUACAGAUCAAAUAAGAGAUUAGUAGUCUGUCCAUCUACUUUAUAUCUGGAAACGCCAUGGUCAACCAGCCAAUGCCAUAGGUCUCUGUGAGUCAGACUUCUAACCAUUGUUUUGAUUCUGCUGUUCAUUAUGAUAACCAGGCUCUCGUGGGAACCUUGUCUUGUCUUUGAAGAUUUAAGUUCCUUCACUUAGCCUUUGCCACUCCAUAGUCCCAUCAUCCCCUUUAAGUUAACUCAGUUUGACAGUAUAAUUUUCCCUUGUAAUUUCUGACCUAGAUUGAAGGGGCCAUAAAGCUAUUCAAGAAUUCUGGGCUCCCAUCACAGCUGUGAUGAAAGAUGUGUCCUCGGGCCCCUGUCAGAUGGGAUGCCCACUAUUGGAAUUUACCUGCUAUCUUCUUAUGAUGAGACUGGGGAUAUGAGUUAUUGAGAGAACGACCACGGAGCUUUGGCCACUGGGAGCUCCUUCAGUUGGCUCUUUUGUCGCUUUGGCAUACUUCCGUCACUGCAGGCUGCCUCACGCGUCUUCUGGACAGCUUUGACACUUCGCUCAAGAAUGAAGGACAGCGAUUUUCCGUGAGCUUCACGUCUGGACCUUCCCGCCAAGAUGUGGUUCCUGCUCUCUAGAACGCGGCCUUUCCUCAGAUACAGCACCAUGUAUUAGCACAGAUUUUGCCUUAGACUGUGGGACUUCUGUCUUCCAUGGAAACCCCAGCCAAUUAGCUGAAGCUAACGUGUACGCCUUCCACUGCCGAGAUAUUGUCAUUGAUCACUUCAGGCCAUUGUGAAGGAGGUUGAUCUAACCUCCAACUGACUGUUGGAUCUCCUAUGAUGCUGUAGUUCUUUCUGCCCAUCACAAACCUCUACCUGAUUUCCAAUAUCUCAGUUUCUCUGGCACAAACUCACUGGAUAAACAAUUCUGGAGAAGUGGAGACACAGGCUUAAAAUCUUUGUGGUCACAAAAUACACACAUGACUUUAUUAUAGUGAGCCUCUUCUGGGAAUAAAACGAAGAUUAGCCCUCAGCUAACUACUGCCAGUCCUCCUCUUUCUGCUGAGGAAGCCUGGCCCUGAGCUAACAUCCGUGCCCAUCUUCCUCUAGUUUAUAUGUGGGAUGCCUACCACAGCAUGGCCAAGCAGCGCCAUGUUCACAGCCGGGAUCCGAACCAGCGUACCCCAGGCUGCCGAGAAGCGGAACGUGCGACCUUAACAGCUACGCCACCGGGGCAGCCCUGAAGCUUUAUUUCUGAAUGCGACAGAGGGAAGAAGAAAAAUUUCUGGAGUGGACAGAUGUAGGUUUGGACCUCAGAUCUGACACUAAUCAACUCCUUGAUCUCUGAGAAUAAACAAAACUUGUCUGAGGAAGUCGACUUAUCUUUAAAUACAGGGAGAAUUGUCGCAGUCUUAAUGGGUUUUGACGUAAACUAAGAUGAUAUUUGAACGUAUUUACCACUCUGCCAGCCACAGGUAUCAUUUAUUAACGUACAGUAUUUACAGAAUUUAUAACAAAUUAUUAAAUUUAGUUUUUUCUUAGUUCUGUUCAGAAGAAGAUCUUUGUUUGUUAGUUAUGUAGUUUUGGCUCUAUAGACAGUCAAGCCCAUAAAAACGAUACAAUUUUAAAACCUCUGAUUAGGCAACCCCCAUCCUGGUAGGAAUCAGAAGAGUUGGGCAUCUUUGGUAUCUAACAACCAGGGCAGCAUCUCUCUUCACUGCCCUCUGACCUCUGCCCCUUGGAGCUUUGCCUUCCAGCACGCCUUCAUACAUCCCCAUGGCUCAGUGCCUGCCUGGCUUCUGGCAAGGUUGAGGGAAGUAGAAUUUUUUGCUCUCAAUUGGUUACUUUUAGUGAGGUAUAAUGUUAGAAAGAACUUGAUCAUUAAAUUCAAAUAGAUGUUUUAACAGGUCAGGCAAACAUUUUUAUAAGGGCUGAUGCCUUACAAUAAAUACAUUCCUUAUGAUAUAAGUCCAACUAGCUGACUUUUGUGUUCUUUUUGCAAAAAAGGAAAGGAAAUUACUUCUUAAUGUCUCUCAAAUCACACAAUGGCCUCUUCCUCAUGUGGGUGUGAAUGUUGGCCCUGCUGACUGAAGUGGGAAAAAUGGCGUCAUCCACAUCUAAAGAGGUGGUUGAUGCAAUCUGCCAGGUGUCACUAUCC
rnacentral:lncRNA from 1 species